rnacentral:rRNA from 1 species
ACGCUAGCUACAGGCUUAACACAUGCAAGUCGAGGGGCAGCAUUUUAGUUUGCUUGCAAACUGAAGAUGGCGACCGGCGCACGGGUGAGUAACACGUAUCCAACCUGCCGAUAACUCCGGAAUAGCCUUUCGAAAGAAAGAUUAAUACCGGAUAGCAUACGAAUAUCGCAUGAUAUUUUUAUUAAAGAAUUUCGGUUAUCGAUGGGGAUGCGUUCCAUUAGUUUGUUGGCGGGGUAACGGCCCACCAAGACUACGAUGGAUAGGGGUUCUGAGAGGAAGGUCCCCCACAUUGGAACUGAGACACGGUCCAAACUCCUACGGGAGGCAGCAGUGAGGAAUAUUGGUCAAUGGGCGAGAGCCUGAACCAGCCAAGUAGCGUGAAGGAUGAAGGCUCUAUGGGUCGUAAACUUCUUUUAUAUGGGAAUAAAGUUUUCCACGUGUGGAAUUUUGUAUGUACCAUAUGAAUAAGGAUCGGCUAACUCCGUGCCAGCAGCCGCGGUAAUACGGAGGAUCCGAGCGUUAUCCGGAUUUAUUGGGUUUAAAGGGAGCGUAGGUGGAUUGUUAAGUCAGUUGUGAAGGUUUGCGGCUCAACCGUAAAAUUGCAGUUGAAACUGGCAGUCUUGAGUACAGUAGAGGUGGGCGGAAUUCGUGGUGUAGCGGUGAAAUGCUUAGAUAUCACGAAGAACUCCGAUUGCGAAGGCAGCUCACUAGACUGUCACUGACACUGAUGCUCGAAAGUGUGGGUAUCAAACAGGAUUAGAUACCCUGGUAGUCCACACAGUAAACGAUGAAUACUCGCUGUUUGCGAUAUACAGUAAGCGGCCAAGCGAAAGCAUUAAGUAUUCCACCUGGGGAGUACGCCGGCAACGGUGAAACUCAAAGGAAUUGACGGGGGCCCGCACAAGCGGAGGAACAUGUGGUUUAAUUCGAUGAUACGCGAGGAACCUUACCCGGGCUUAAAUUGCAACAGAAUAUAUUGGAAACAGUAUAGCCGUAAGGCUGUUGUGAAGGUGCUGCAUGGUUGUCGUCAGCUCGUGCCGUGAGGUGUCGGCUUAAGUGCCAUAACGAGCGCAACCCUUAUCUUUAGUUACUAACAGGUUAUGCUGAGGACUCUAGAGAGACUGCCGUCGUAAGAUGUGAGGAAGGUGGGGAUGACGUCAAAUCAGCACGGCCCUUACGUCCGGGGCUACACACGUGUUACAAUGGGGGGUACAGAAGGCGGCUACCUGGUGACAGGAUGCUAAUCCCAAAAACCUCUCUCAGUUCGGAUCGAAGUCUGCAACCCGACUUCGUGAAGCUGGAUUCGCUAGUAAUCGCGCAUCAGCCAUGGCGCGGUGAAUACGUUCCCGGGCCUUGUACACACCGCCCGUCAAGCCAUGAAAGCCGGGGGUACCUGAAGUACGUAACCGCAAGGAGCGUCCUAGGGUAAAACUGGUAAUUGGGGCUAAGUC